rnacentral:rRNA from 1 species
UACAGAGGUCUCAAGCGUUGUUCGGAUUCAUUGGGCGUAAAGGGUGUGUAGGUGGAGCGCUAAGUCGGGUGUGAAAUUUCGGAGCUUAACUCCGAAACUGCAUUCGAUACUGGCGUGCUUGAGGACUGGAGAGGAGACUGGAAUUUACGGUGUAGCAGUGAAAUGCGUAGAUAUCGUAAGGAAGACCAGUGGCGAAGGCGGGUCUCUGGACAGUUCCUGACACUGAGACACGAAGGCCAGGGGAGCAAACGGG